rnacentral:rRNA from 1 species
AAGCGUGGACGCCAGUCUGCGUGGAGCCGACCUUGAAAUACCACCCUUUAAUGUUUGAUGUUCUAACGUGGACCCGUGAUCCGGGUUGCGGACAGUGUCUGGUGGGUAGUUUGACUGGGGCGGUCUCCUCCUAAAGAGUAACGGAGGAGCACGAAGGUUGGCUAAUCCUGGUCGGACAUCAGGAGGUUAGUGCAAUGGCAUAAGCCAGCUUGACUGCGAGCGUGACGGCGCGAGCAGGUGCGAAAGCAGGUCAUAGUGAUCCGGUGGUUCUGAAUGGAAGGGCCAUCGCUCAACGGAUAAAAGGUACUCCGGGGAUAACAGGCUGAUACCGCCCAAGAGUUCAUAUCGACGGCGGUGUUUGGCACCUCGAUGUCGGCUCAUCACAUCCUGGGGCUGAAGUAGGUCCCAAGGGUAUGGCUGUUCGCCAUUUAAAGUGGUACGCGAGCUGGGUUUAGAACGUCGUGAGACAGUUCGGUCCCUAUCUGCCGUGGGCGCUGGAGAACUGAGGGGGGCUGCUCCUAGUACGAGAGGACCGGAGUGGACGCAUCACUGGUGUUCGGGUUGUCAUGCCAAUGGCACUGCCCGGUAGCUAAAUGCGGAAGAGAUAAGUGCUGAAAGCAUCUAAGCACGAAACUUGCCCCGAGAUGAGUUCUCCCUGAGACUUUAGGUCUCCUGAAGGAACGUUGAAGACGACGACGUUGAUAGGCCGGGUGUGUAAGCGCAGCGAUGCGUUGAGCUAACCGGUACUAAUGAACCGUGAGGCUUAACCUUACA